GGUUAAGCGACUAAGCGUACACGGUGGAUGCCCUGGCAGUCAGAGGCGAUGAAGGACGUGCUAAUCUGCGAAAAGCGUCGGUAAGGUGAUAUGAACCGUUACAGCCGGCGAUGUCCGAAUGGGGAAACCCAGUGCAAUUCGUUGCACUAUCGUUUGAUGAAUACAUAGUCAAACGAGGCGAACCGGGGGAACUGAAACAUCUAAGUACCCCGAGGAAAAGAAAUCAACCGAGAUUCCCCCAGUAGCGGCGAGCGAACGGGGAGCAGCCCGGAGUCUGAAUCAGCUUGUGUGUUAGUGGAAGCGUCUGGAAAGUCGCAGGGUACAGGGUGAUACUCCCGUACACUAAAACGCACAGGUUGUGAACUCGAAGAGUAGGGCGGGACACGUGGUAUCCUGUCUGAAUAUGGGGGGACCAUCCUCCAAGGCUAAAUACUCCUGACUGACCGAUAGUGAACCAGUACCGUGAGGGAAAGGCGAAAAGAACCCCGGCGAGGGGAGUGAAAAAGAACCUGAAACCGUGUACGUACAAGCAGUGGGAGCCCACUUGUUGGGUGACUGCGUACCUUUUGUAUAAUGGGUCAGCGACUUAUAUUCUGUAGCAAGGUUAACCGUAUAGGGGAGCCGCAGGGAAACCGAGUCUUAACUGGGCGUUAAGUUGCAGGGUAUAGACCCGAAACCCGGUGAUCUAGCCAUGGGCAGGUUGAAGGUUGGGUAACACUAACUGGAGGACCGAACCGACUAAUGUUGAAAAAUUAGCGGAUGACUUGUGGCUGGGGGUGAAAGGCCAAUCAAACCGGGAGAUAGCUGGUUCUCCCCGAAAGCUAUUUAGGUAGCGCCUCGUGAACUCAUCUUCGGGGGUAGAGCACUGUUUCGGCUAGGGGGUCAUCCCGACUUACCAACCCGAUGCAAACUACGAAUACCGAAGAAUGUUAUCACGGGAGACACACGGCGGGUGCUAACGUCCGUCGUGAAGAGGGAAACAACCCAGACCGCCAGCUAAGGUCCCAAAGUCAUGGUUAAGUGGGAAACGAUGUGGGAAGGCCCAGACAGCCAGGAUGUUGGCUUAGAAGCAGCCAUCAUUUAAAGAAAGCGUAAUAGCUCACUGGUCGAGUCGGCCUGCGCGGAAGAUGUAACGGGGCUAAACCAUGCACCGAAGCUGCGGCAGCGACACUAUGUGUUGUUGGGUAGGGGAGCGUUCUGUAAGCCGUUGAAGGUGGCCUGUGAGGGUUGCUGGAGGUAUCAGAAGUGCGAAUGCUGACAUAAGUAACGAUAAUGCGGGUGAAAAACCCGCACGCCGGAAGACCAAGGGUUCCUGUCCAACGUUAAUCGGGGCAGGGUGAGUCGACCCCUAAGGCGAGGCCGAAAGGCGUAGUCGAUGGGAAACAGGUUAAUAUUCCUGUACUUGGUGUUACUGCGAAGGGGGGACGGAGAAGGCUAUGUUGGCCGGGCGACGGUUGUCCCGGUUUAAGCGUGUAGGUGUGUGUUCCAGGUAAAUCCGGUUCACUUUAACACUGAGGCGUGAUGACGAGGCACUACGGUGCUGAAGUGACAAAUGCCCUGCUUCCAGGAAAAGCCUCUAAGCAUCAGGUAACAUCAAAUCGUACCCCAAACCGACACAGGUGGUCAGGUAGAGAAUACCAAGGCGCUUGAGAGAACUCGGGUGAAGGAACUAGGCAAAAUGGUGCCGUAACUUCGGGAGAAGGCACGCUGAUAUGUAGGUGAAGUGGUUUACCCAUGGAGCUGAAAUCAGUCGAAGAUACCAGCUGGCUGCAACUGUUUAUUAAAAACACAGCACUGUGCAAACACGAAAGUGGACGUAUACGGUGUGACGCCUGCCCGGUGCCGGAAGGUUAAUUGAUGGGGUUAUCCGUAAGGAGAAGCUCUUGAUCGAAGCCCCGGUAAACGGCGGCCGUAACUAUAACGGUCCUAAGGUAGCGAAAUUCCUUGUCGGGUAAGUUCCGACCUGCACGAAUGGCGUAAUGAUGGCCAGGCUGUCUCCACCCGAGACUCAGUGAAAUUGAACUCGCUGUGAAGAUGCAGUGUACCCGCGGCAAGACGGAAAGACCCCGUGAACCUUUACUAUAGCUUGACACUGAACACUGGUCCUUGAUGUGUAGGAUAGGUGGGAGGCUUUGAAGUGUGGACGCCAGUCUGCAUGGAGCCAUCCUUGAAAUACCACCCUUUAAUGGCUGGUGUUCUAACGUGGGCCCGUAAUCCGGGUUGCGGACAGUGUCUGGUGGGUAGUUUGACUGGGGCGGUCUCCUCCUAAAGAGUAACGGAGGAGCACGAAGGUCAGCUAAUCCUGGUCGGACAUCAGGAGGUUAGUGCAAUGGCAUAAGCUGGCUUGACUGCGAGCGUGACGGCGCGAGCAGGUGCGAAAGCAGGUCAUAGUGAUCCGGUGGUUCUGAAUGGAAGGGCCAUCGCUCAACGGAUAAAAGGUACUCCGGGGAUAACAGGCUGAUACCGCCCAAGAGUUCAUAUCGACGGCGGUGUUUGGCACCUCGAUGUCGGCUCAUCACAUCCUGGGGCUGAAGUAGGUCCCAAGGGUAUGGCUGUUCGCCAUUUAAAGUGGUACGCGAGCUGGGUUUAGAACGUCGUGAGACAGUUCGGUCCCUAUCUGCCGUGGGCGCUGGAGAAUUGAGGGGGGCUGCUCCUAGUACGAGAGGACCGGAGUGGACGCAUCACUGGUGUUCGGGUUGUCAUGCCAAUGGCAUUGCCCGGUAGCUAAAUGCGGAAGAGAUAAGUGCUGAAAGCAUCUAAGUACGAAACUUGCCCCGAGAUGAGUUCUCCCUGACUCCUUGAGAGUCCUGAAGGAACGUUGAAGACGACGACGUUGAUAGGCCGGGUGUGUAAGCGCAGCGAUGCGUUGAGCUAACCGGUACUAAUGAACCGUGAGGCUUAACCUU
rnacentral:rRNA from 1 species